AGUCGACGCUGAAGCCCCAGCUUGCUGGGGUGGAUGAGUGGCGAACGGGUGAGUAACACGUGAGUAACCUUCCCUUGACUCUGGGAUAAGCCUGGGAAACCGGGUCUAAUACCGGAUGCGACCCCUGACCGCAUGGUGGGGGGUGGAAAGAUUUAUCGGUCUUGGAUGGACUCGCGGCCUAUCAGCUGGUUGGUGGGGUAAUGGCCUACCAAGGCGACGACGGGUAGCCGGCCUGAGAGGGUGACCGGCCACACUGGGACUGAGACACGGCCCAGACUCCUACGGGAGGCAGCAGUGGGGAAUAUUGCACAAUGGGCGCAAGCCUGAUGCAGCGACGCCGCGUGAGGGAUGACGGCCUUCGGGUUGUAAACCUCUUUCAGUAGGGAAGAAGCGAAAGUGACGGUACCUGCAGAAGAAGCGCCGGCUAACUACGUGCCAGCAGCCGCGGUAAUACGUAGGGCGCGAGCGUUAUCCGGAAUUAUUGGGCGUAAAGAGCUCGUAGGCGGUUUGUCGCGUCUGCCGUGAAAGUCCGGGGCUUAACCCCGGAUCUGCGGUGGGUACGGGCAGACUGGAGUGCAGU
rnacentral:rRNA from 1 species